rnacentral:rRNA from 1 species
UACGGAGGGUGCAAGCGUUAUCCGGAUUCACUGGGUUUAAAGGGUGCGUAGGCGGGCAGGUAAGUCAGUGGUGAAAUCUUCGAGCUUAACUCGGAAACUGCCGUUGAUACUAUCUGUCUUGAAUAACGUUGAGGUGAGCGGAAUAUGUCAUGUAGCGGUGAAAUGCUUAGAUAUGACAUAGAACACCGAUUGCGAAGGCAGCUCACUAAACGCUCAUUGACGCUGAGGCACGAAAGCGUGGGGAUCAAACAGG